AGUUUGUGGGUUGUCUUUUUUACUUUCUUGAUAGUGUCCUUAGAUGCACAAAACAUUUAUAUUUUAAGUCCAAUUUUUUUAUUUUUCUUUUUUUGCUCGUGCUUUUGGUGUCAUAUCUAAGAAUCCAUUGCCAAAUUUAAUCUCAUGAAUAUUUAUUCCUGUGUUUCCUUCUAAGAGUUUUGUAGCUUUAGGUUUCAGUUUAGGUCUUUAAUCCAUUUUGAAUUAAUUUUUGUAUAUAGUAUAAAGUUAAGAAUUCAAAUUCAUUUUUUCUUUUUCUUUUUUUUUUUUUUGCAUGUGGGUAUCUGGUUGUCCUAGGACCAUUUGUUGAAUGCAUUAUUCUUUUUUAAUUGAAUAGUCUUGGCAUUCUUGUAGAAACUCAAUUGAUCAUAAAUACAUGGGUUUAUUUCCAUUUGAUUCCACUGAUCAUAUGUCUAUACUUAUGCUAGUAUUAAUUUGUCUUGACUAUUGUUGCUUUAUAGUAAGAUGUGAAGUCAAGAAUACUAAGUCCUUGAAUUUUUUAUUUCAAGAUUGUUUUGGCACUUCUGAGCCACUUGAGUUUCCAUACGAAUUUGAGGAUAAACUUGUCAAUUUAUACAAAAAGGUCAGCUGGUAUUCUGAUGUGGAUUGCAUUGGAUAUAUUGAUUGGUUUGGGGGGUAUGAACAUGGGAUGGCUUUACAUUUAUUUAGAUAUUCUUUAAUUUCUUUUACUAAGGAGUUGUAAUUUUUGCAGCAUAAGUUUUACACUCCUUUUGCUAAAUUUAAAGCUAAGCAUUUUUUGAUGUUAUAUAUAAAGUUGUUUUCAUAAUUAUAUUUAAAGAUUGUUAUCAAUAUUUAGAAAUACCAUUGAUUUUUGUAUAUUGGUCUUAUAUCCUGCAACUUUGCUGAAUACAUUCUAAUAAUUUUAAAAUAGAUUAGCUUGGAUUUUUAAAAUUUCACUUGAUAAAUAUCAAAAUAUUAUAUCCAACCAUCAAAAAUAUAAUACUAAAUGUGAUGUGUAUACUAUUUCCAUUUUAUGGAAAAAGGAGGUAGUUUAAAGAAGUUAAGUCACAUCCAAAAUCAUACCUUUUCUUGGGAUGGUAACGAUAGUCUCUAUACACUGGCCUGAAAAUGAUCUCGGGAACACUCGUUACCAGUUUUUAUUUGUACCAUACCCCACAUACACAGCACUGAACACAAUUUUCUUGCCCUGAUGUAUGAAAUGUUAAUCAUCUGAAUUGCUGGAACAAAUUAUCUGAAGUGAAAUCUGAUCUUGUCAUUCUCUGAUUUAAAAUUUUUCUUUCACAUGCUGAAGUCUGUGGAAAUUAGAACUCUUUAGCAUGCCAGUCUACGAUAUGACCUCCUCUUCUUCCCACUCAUCUGGGCUUUGGCCUCUCAUCUUCUCACUUCUCACCAAUUUUUCAAUGUUUUAAAUACGUGAAGCUGCUGCCUUGAUGAUUGCCAUACUUUUGCACAUGCUGUUGUCACUGCCUGCAGCACCUUUUCUCAAACUUUCCCUGCUGAAUCAGAAGCAGGAUUCUUCCUGGAAAUCCAGGUUUGUUAGGUAACCCUCACAUGGUUUCCACAGGAGCCUGUGUGUACCCAAACUGAAAUACCUAUCACUUAUUUCAUUGUCUCCCACGAGGCUGAACUCCCAUGGGAGUAAGGAAGUGGGCCCGGCAUAAUCGUGUUCCAAGUAAACAUCUUUUUGAUGAAUGGAUGACUCUUACUCACCAUUUCCGGUAAGACUGGUGCUCUUCUUAUGACGCCUUGUUGACAGAGUUGUAGACACUACUCGUUGGUAUAAAAUCCCAAUCAGAGGCCGGGCGUGGUGGCUCACGCCUGUAAUCCCAGCACUUUGGGAGGCUGAGGUGGGUGGAUCAUCUGAGGUCAGGAGUUCGAGACCAGCCUGACCAAGAUGGUGAAACCCCAUCUAUACUAAAUACAAAAAAUUAGCCUGGUGUGGUGGUGCAUGCCUGUAAUCCCAGCUACUUGGGAGCCUGAGGCAGGAGAAUUGCUUGAACCCGGGAGGCGGAGUUUGCAGUGAGCCGAGAUUGCUCCACCACACUCCAUCCCGGGCAACAAGAGCGAAACUCUACCUCAAAAAAAAAAAAAAA
rnacentral:lncRNA from 1 species